rnacentral:rRNA from 1 species
AUGGAAAAACAUGAGAGUUUGGAGCGUGACUCAAUGACUCGAGAGUCCGAGCUUGCGAUGGCUCUUGAGAGUGCCAAAGCCGCUAAGGCCGAAGCCUAUAAGGCCCUCCAAGAAGUCGAGGCGUUGAAGAAAAUAGCGGCGGGUAAGGCGUUUUUCAUGCAAAGUAAGCAUGUGAGUGUGAAUUACAUAUCACUUACCCGAAUUCAGAGCUCUCCAGGAGCGUUCGUAGAUCUGCCUCGCAGCGUGUCCGAUGCUGCCGCUUUCUACAGGGCCAAGGAGGGGAGCUCGACGGAGAAGGUCUUCUGGUCUCAGUACACUGAGGCCGGACAUCCGGUGCCCCUUAGCGACCAGCUGAAGCAGCUGGUCGAGCUCCACAAGGUGGCCGAACAGGCCAUGAAGGGCCUCAUAGUUCGACUGUGGCCUAAGGAGGCCAUGCCUGGGAGCUACUUUGGCCUGGUGCGGCGGCUGGUGGAUGCGUGCCCGUGGGUUGAAGUCAUCAAGCACUCCGCCUGUAUUGAAGGUGCCCGUCGGGCCCUUUCCCGUGCAAAGGUGCACUAG